rnacentral:lncRNA from 1 species
GAAGGAUGGUCAUCAACCCUUCCUUGGCUACUUUCAUGGGCAACAUGUGAAACGGAUGCUGGUGGGGGAGAGUAGUUCGAUGGACUGUGUUCAGGCUGGUGGUGGACAUGAGUCACAUGGGGUGGCUGUUGGUACUGAUAUGACGGUGGUUGGUGUGGUGGGGGUGGUGGAAAUCCAGGUUGCUGAAAGUAAGAUGGUGGGGGUGGACCAUCAAAGCCAGGUUGGUGGAAGUAUGAUGAUGGAGGUGGCGGAGGAUAGGGUCCAACAAAGCCAGGUGGCUGCUGGUAGCUUGGUGGUGGAGGGUACGGCGGAGUAAAUUCAUGGUGGUGAAGGUGUGGGUGUGGGUGUGGGGGUGGGGGUCUUUCUUGGUUUUCUUCAUCAUCAUUUCUGUGGUGAUGAGUGUGAGAGCGGUUGUGACCGAAUGGGAACUCCAUUUGUUCGAUUCUGAUCU